rnacentral:rRNA from 1 species
UACGUAGGGGGCUAGCGUUGUCCGGAAUCAUUGGGCGUAAAGCGUGCGUAGGCGGUUCCUUAAGUCUGUCGUGAAAGCCCCGGGCUCAACCUGGGAAUGGCAGUGGAAACUAGGGGACUGGAAUCUGGCAGAGGGGGGUGGAAUGCCGCGUGUAGCAGUGAAAUGCGUAGAGAUGCGGCGGAACACCGAUGGCGAAGGCAGCCCCCUGGGCUGAGAUUGACGCUCAGGCACGAAAGCGUGGGGAGCAAACAGG